CUGUCAUCUUUUCAGCGCAUUAUUCGGUUAACCGUUUUUUCAUUUGGUAAUAUUUCCUUGACUUACGGCAAUGAACACUUCCACCUACAGGCUUCCAUCAGCUACUAGAAACCCUAACAAUUAGCAUAACCUUCCUGCCUCUCACAAAAAGCCGCCGCCUUGCGUUUCCCUUUCAAUUUUCAACUGCACUGCCAUCUGCGUUUCAGCGUUUGUCUCCAUCUAAAUUCUAGCCAAGCACCAACCCACCUCUCCAUCUCCCUUGCUUUUCUUCUCUCUUUACUUCUGCACAAGCCUCCUCUAUUCUAGCAAGUUGCAGCAGAAGGAGAGGGCUCCUUUAUUAGAGAAAAGACAGAUGGAUAAUGGGGAAGAUCCUACAUCAAAUGAGUCAACUGAUUGUUUGUAAGUAGUAUUGGUGGCUUGGUGCAAUCUUGGAGUAUAAUUGUUUUGGAACAAUAACAACCAACAGAGAGUUAUAAUCACAGAUUUUGAAUGAUUCCCUUGUUUUUCCAUGCUUUUUAAGCUCGUCUUGGAAUUGGAACAAAUAAUUGAAAAAAGUAUUCAUUUGACAGCCAUCCUUUAGAUCACCACUAAUUUGUUUUGGGUCCAUAGUUGAUUGCCUGUAGGCACGAUACAACACUGGAAGAGCUGUUACAACUUACAAGUAAAUCAAACUCAUUUCAUUUAAACAUAAAGAAAAAAAAGGAAGAUGAUUGAAAUCUCUGUUAAUAUUGGAGUGAUUAUGGAUUUACUAUUGGUA